GAAAAGAAACCAACAGGGAUUGCCUCAGUAACGGCGAGUGAAGCGGCAACAGCUCAAAUUUGAAAUCUGGCUCCUUUGGAGUCCGAGUUGUAAUUUGUAGAGGGUGCUUUGGCGUUGGUUGUGGUCUAAGUUCCUUGGAACAGGACGUCACAGAGGGUGAGAAUCCCGUACGUGGCCGCCAGCCUCCGCCGUGUAAAGCCCCUUCGAUGAGUCGAGUUGUUUGGGAAUGCAGCUCUAAAUGGGAGGUAAAUUUCUUCUAAAGCUAAAUAUUUGCCAGAGACCGAUAGCGCACAAGUAGAGUGAUCGAAAGAUGAAAAGCACUUUGGAAAGAGAGUCAAAAAGCACGUGAAAUUGUUGAAAGGGAAGCGCUUGCAGCUAGACGUGCCUUGGGUUGAUCAGCCGGACUUUUGCCCGGUGCACUCUUCCUUUGGCAGGCCAGCAUCAGUUUGGGCGGCUGGAUAAAGGUCUGUUAAACGUGACUUCCUUCGGGGAGAGCUUAUAGGGUAGACGACAUGCAGCCAGCCUGAACUGAGGUCCGCGCAUCUGCUAGGAUGCUGGCAUAAUAGCUGUAAGCGGCCCGUCUUGAAACACGGACCAAGGAGUCUAACAUCUAUGCGAGUGUUUGGGUGUCAAGCCCGAGCGCGUAAUGAAAGUAAACGUAGGUGGGAACCUUUUAGGUGCACCAUCGACCGAUCUUGAUGUCUUCGGAUGGAUUUGAGUAAGAGCAUAGCUGUUGGGACCCGAAAGAUGGUGAACUAUGCCUGAAUAGGGUGAAGCCAGAGGAAACUCUGGUGGAGGCUCGCAGCGGUUCUGACGUGCAAAUCGAUCGUCAAAUUUGGGCAUAGGGGCGAAAGACUAAU
rnacentral:rRNA from 2 species